rnacentral:misc_RNA from 1 species
CCGAGUUUACAACUCCCAAACCCCUGUGAACAUACCAAUUGUUGCCUCGGCGGAUCAGCCCGCUCCCGGUAAAACGGAACGGCCCGCCAGAGGACCCCUAAACUCUGUUUCUAUAUGUAACUUCUGAGUAAAAACCAUGAAUAAAUCA